rnacentral:lncRNA from 1 species
ACAAACACAAAAGACACGCUGAGGGGCCGCCGGCUCCCGCCGAGACUGCCGCCCGCACCCGGCCAGCCCCCGCCCCCGGCCCUGCACUCCCAUCCCGCUCCGUGUGCGCACGGCGUCGAACCCCCGAAGCCCGGGUUUGGGGCGCCCGGAGGGAAGUGGGGGGAGGGGAAGGCGGGCGGAGGCGCGGCGGGUGAACGCCCGGCCUGCGGGCGUCUCGGGCCGCGGCGGGGAGGGGAGGGAGGGGCUGCCCCCGCGCGGGCCCCGGCGCGCGCCCCCGAGGAGACCCGGGCGGCAGUGGGGGAGGAGGACGCGGUCGGCCGGGUCGCCGCGCCCCAUUGGAAAACGCUCCCCAGCAGGAAGCUGGCAAAUAGGAAUCCAGCGUCCCGCGCCCGCUGUCGGACCUGGCCGCUGCGGCAGCGGGAGGGGCGGACCGACGGCCUCCUUCCCGCCUGCGCGCUCGGCCAAGUGCGGCCGGGUCCUGCGGGACCGGCCCGAGUCCGCCGUAGACAACUUGAUCCGCUAAGACUCCUGGGCCGGCCGCCUGCGUGCAGGGCAGCCCCUCGCCGGUGUUGGCCUCCGGGAUCAGGGGACGGGGCUCGCUCUCCUCCCGGGCCCGGGCCCCCGACGCAAGAUGGCUGUGUCGCGUCGGCCUCUAAACAAUGUGUGGAGCGCGCAGCUCCUGCACCAGGGCCUGGUGGCUUGUCCUGCCCGCCCGUGGGGGCCGUGUGAUCUGUUUUCGGUAGGAUUGCUUUGGAAAGGAAUUGCCGAAUAUAGAUAGUCAAAUGUCCGCAGCUUCUGCAUAGUUUAGAAGAGGCUGAAAACGGCAGAAAGAAGGCAAACGUGGUUUGGGAAUUAGUACAUAUACCUGUUUUCCAAUUCUCAGUAGCAUAGGAAACGGACUUUUCAUGGCCCAAGUUAUCCUCACGACUUGUCAGUUGAUUGGCUUUGGAACCUCUGAACCGUCCCUAGAUGGUAUUGACGCUUCACAACUGUGUGUAAAGGUUUUCAAUGGAAGGGUCAUGCAAAUAUCCCGUAGGGUAGUGAAGGAGGAAAAUUUCAUAAAUGAAGGGCAGUAAUUAUUUGUAAUCUGAAGAUCUCACAAAGCGGCUUAGUGAUAAACAUUAUCCCGAAACAGAUACAUGGAAAUCAGAUACGAGGGAAGAAAUGGAUUUGUCCAAGGUCACUUAAGUGAGGAAGAGACCUAGGAGAAACAAACAGACAAAAAUCCAGGCCUCCCGUUUCAUUAUUAUUUCAUGAAUGUUAAGUGUCCAUGGUUGCUGUGCAGAACACAUGCAAUCUCUAAUCCUAUCCUAAAAGCACAUAUGCAAUCAGCUUGGACCGAGCUGCCAGCAAAGAAUUUCCUAUAAUUCAAGCCAAGAUGAGUUAUUUUGCUUGUUUUUUGUUUUGUUUUCAGGAAACCGAAAUAUUUAUUGUUGGAUUUAUCCAGGAAGGCUGUUCUGCAUUAGUUAAAUGCAUCAUAUCUUCAAGAAAUGUUAAAUGACAUGGGUAAUGUUUUCUUUGUAUGCUGGAUUUUUCAAUAGCUUCUACUUCUUGGCUUUAAAAAAUAUUUCUAACCAAGGGUCAGACCAUUUUAGGUAGAGUAAUUAUGAUCUUAGAUGAUUUGAACUAACUCAGCUGUCUGUCCAUUUGUGAAAUGGGAAUAAUAAUAUUUAUCUCUAUGAAGUUAGGCCACAAAUUCUUUCUAGUAGGUUCAAGUAUUUAAGCACCUGGAGAGGUGACUGGUUACCCUCCUAGUGGCUUCAGGAAGUUUUCUCACUGAAUGAAUAUUUAUUGAGUGCCAACUCUGCUCAGCACAAUUCAGGGGUGCUGGGAAUGCAGCAGUGAAUAACACAAGCAGUGUUCCUGCCCUCAUGGGGCUUAUGAUCUCUGGAAGCACUGCUUUGCACAGGGAAGUAGCACCAGGAGGGGGUAAAGAAAGAGGGACUUUGGAGCCCCAAGAUUGGCAAAAACUAUAGCUAAUGAGAGAGGUGAACUGUAGAGUCUAGAUAAUGGGGAAGGAGAGGUGCCAGAGCAAGAAGGGAUUCUCACAGGGCCCUACGGGUCAGUCCUGAAUUGGCUUUACUAGAACUCAGGCCCAGCACAAUGGCUCACAUCUGUAAUCCCAGCGCUUUGGGAGGCCGAGGUGGGUGGAUCACUUGAGAUCAGGAGUUUGAGACCAACCUGGCCAACCUGGAGAAACCCUGUCUCUACUAAAAAUAAAAAUUAGCCGUCAUGGUGGCACACGUCUGUAAUCCUAGCUACUUGGGAGGCUGAAGUGGGAGGAUUGCUUGAAUUUGGGAGGUGGAGGUUGCAGUGAGCCGAAAUUUUGCCACUGCACUUCAGCCUGGGCAACAGUAAGACUCCAUCUCAGAAAAAAAAAAAAAUAGAAUUCUUGGGCUAAUAAUGGCCUCAACAUUUGCAGUUAAAAAAGAAAUGGGGAGGAUGGGAGCAAAAGGUUUUAAGUUAAAAUAUUUUCCUUAGAAUAGAGUACUUAUGGCCAUGAAUUUAGAUUUGUUUAUAAGUAGAAAAGUAGAAUGGAAAGGAUUUUAAAAGCAACGCUAUUCAUAUCUGCUUGGCUCCUGUCAAUCAACUGCAAAGAUUACUGCCUCAUGGAGAUGCUUCUGGUCACUGUAAUGCUAUCUCCAUGCACACUUUAUCACAUUGAUUUCACAUCACCUUUUUAUCACAUUGAUUUACAUCUAUCAUUUGUUCACUUGCUUAUUGUCCAGUUCCUCCCCAAAGAAUAUAACCUCUGAGGUAAUGGUGGUCUUGUCUGUUUUUUCUCCUGUCCCUGAUCAUUUGCUGUACCUUUUUAUUAGGUGAUCUCAUCCAGUUACAUGGAAAUUAUCAUGUAGAAAAAUAGAAUAAAACAAUGAACCCCUUGUACCCAUCUUUAGAAAUUACUGACUCAUGACCAAUAUUGGGUUCCCUCUAUACUCUACUCACUUCUACCUCACCGAUUUGAAUUAUUUUGAAGCAAAUCCCAGCCUGCAUUAUUUCAUCUGUAGAUAAUUUAGUAUGUAUCAUAGGAGUCAAAUAGAUGAUUGAUGUGCCCCUUAAAUCUCUUAUAAUCUACAGAUUCUUUCUCUGUAUUUGUACUUUGUUGAAAAAUAUGGAUUGGCCAGGCGUGGUGGCUCACACUUGUAAUCCCAGCACUUUGGGAGGCUGAGGUGGGCUGAUCACUUGAGGUCAGGAGUUGGAGACCACCUUGGCCAACAUGGCGAAACCCUAUCUCUACUAAAAAUACAAAAAUUAGCCAGGCGUGGUGGCUCACGCCUGUAGUCCCAGCUACUUGGGAGGCUGAGGUAGGAGAAUUGCUUGAACCCCAGGAGGCGGAGGUUGCAGUGAGCAGAGACUGCGCCACUGCACUCCAGUCUGGGCGACAGAGCAAGACUCCGUCUCAAACAAAAGAAAAAUAUGGAUCAUUUAUCCUGAGGCUUUGGAUCCACACUGUCUAAAACUGUCCUUUCCCUCAGUCUUGUCCAGUAAAUAGCACUACCAUUUACUCAACUCAAACCAAAAAGUACAGACAGCCUCCUUGAGCCUCUUUUUCUUUCACCCCGAUAGCCAGUCUAUUGGUCUUGCUCUGAAAUGCUUAUCAGAAUGACCUACUCCUCUUCUCAUCUCUUACCUGCCCUUCAACAGUAACUUUCUGUAUGACCUUUCUCUUUCCACUCCUGCACCUCUGUAUUUUAUUUGCUACCAAGCAGACACAGAUUAGAUUAUAGAAUAUAAAUCAGAUUAGGUUGCAUUCUUGCUUAAUCCAUUCAGUGGCCUCCCACUGCUCUUGGUUAAAUUCCACAUGUGUGGGCCCUGGCAUUACCCCUCUUUCCCCUCCGCACUGUGCUGCAGACUAGCCACCCCUGGUCCAUCAAGUCCUCCUCUGCCUUAGGAUCAUUGCAUCUGUUCUUUCUGAAGCUUGAAUUCUCUUCCACCAGCUUUUGAUAGGACUGUCUCACCAUCUUCUAAGGCAAACUUUCUAACCUUUCCCAUGUCAUUUUCUUCUUAGAAAAUGAUCAUAUUUGGCCAGGUGCAGUGGCUCACACCUCAGGUGAUCUGCCUACCUCGGCCUCCCAAGGUGCUGGGAUUACAGGCAUGAGCCACCGCGCCUGGCCUUUUCCAUUGCUAUUAUUAUUAUUCGAGACAGAGUCUCACUCUGUGGUCCAGGCUGGAAUGCAGUGGUGUGAUCGCUGCUCACUGCAACCUCCGCCUCCCAGGUUCAAGCAAUUCUCCUGCCUCAGCCUCCCAAGUAGCUGGAAUUACAGGCAUGUGCCACCAUGCCCAGCUAAUUUUUUUGUAUUUUCAAUAGAGACAGGGUUUUGCCAUGUUGGCCAGGCUGGUCUCAAACUCCUGACCUCAAGUGAUCUGCCCGCCUUGGCCAACCAAAGUGCUGGGAUUAUUGGCAUGAGCCACCACACCUGCCCUCCAUUAUUAUUAUUUCAGUUAUGGUGAUCUGUAAUCAGUGAUCUUUGAUGUUACUAUUGUAAUUGUCUUGGGCAGCCACAAGCUGCACCUGUAUAAGAUGGCAAACUUAACUCCAUAAAUGUCCUGUGUGUUCUGAUGUCCACGGAUCAGCUGUUCCCUCAUUUCUCUUUCUCUCCUUGCGCCUCCAAUUCCCUAAGACACAAUAUUGAAAUCCAGGCCAAUUAAUAGCCCCACAGUGACCUCUAAGUGUUCAAGUUAAAGGAAGAGUUGCACGUUUCUCACUUUAAAUCGAAAGCUAGAAAUGAUUUUGCUUAGUGAGGAAGGCAUGUUGAAAGCCAAGAUAGGCCAAAAGUUAGGGCUCUUACACCGAACAGUUAACCAAGUUGUGAAGGCAAAGGGAAAGUUCUUGAAGGAAAUUAAAAGUGCUACUCCAGUGAGUACCUGAAUGUUAAGAAACAGAACAGCCCUCUUGCUGAUAUGGAAAACAUUUUAGUGGUCUGGACAAAUCAAACCAGCUACAACAUUCCCUUAAGCUAAAGCCUAAUCCAGAUCACAGUCCUAGCUCUCUUCAAUUCUCUGAAUCCUGAGAGAGGUGAGGAAACUACAGAAGGAAAGUUUGAAGCGAGCAGAGGUUGGUUAAUGAGGUUUAAGUAAUGAAGUCAUCUCUAACAAAAAAGUGCAAGAUGAAGCAUAGGUGAUCCAAAAGAUCUAAGAUAAUUGAUGAAGGUGGCUACACUAAACAACAGAUUUUUGUUGAAGAUGAAACAGUUUCUAUUUGAAGGAGAUGCCAUCUAAGACUUUCAUAGCUAGAGAAGAGAAAUCAGUGCCUGCCUUCAAGUUUCCAAGGACAGGAUGAUUCUCUUGGUAGGGGCUAACACAGCUGUGACUUUCAGUGGAAGUCAGUGCUUAUUUAGCGUUCUCAAAAUUCUAGGGCCUUUAAGAAUUAUGCUAAAUCUGCUCUGCCUGUGCGCUAUAUAAAUGGAACAACAAAGCCUGGAUGACAGUACAUCUGUUUAUAGCAUGGUUUACUUUUUUUUUUUUUUUUUUGAGACGUAGUUUCACUCUUGUUGCCCAGGCUGGAGUGCAAUGGCACCAUCUCGGCUCACCACAACCUCUGCCUCCCAGGUUCAAGCAAUCCUCCUACCUCAGCCUCCCAAGUAGCUGGGAUUACAGGCAUGCGCCACCACACCCAGCUCAUUUUGUAUUUUUAGUAGAGAUGGGGGUUUCUCCAUGUUGGUCAGGCUGGUCUCGAACUUCCGACCUCAGGUGAUCCACCUGCCUCAGCCUCUCAAAGUGCUGGGAUUACAGGCAUGAGCCACCGCACCCGGCCUGAAAAAGAAAGUGAAUUCUCAUACAGCCUGCCUCAUUCCUAACAUUUAUGAGAAUAUCUGAAAUACCAGACAAGUUAUCCUAUUAAGAACUUUUUUCAUAGACUGCUUCCAAUUAUAUUAUUAAUAAGAAGUUUAAUUGAAGAACAGAUCAAACCUUAAGUGUGAAGCCUUUAUCUCAAUGAUGAAAAUUUCUAAGUCACCUCAGCCUAAAAAUUCAUUUACCUCUCUUGCAGUCUCAGAUGGUUUGUCCCUCCCUAGGUUGCAAUGUGAGGACUUAGGGGCUACAUGGCUCCCUAUUAAGACAAUAAGCUUUCCCAAGUUCACUUUCUACACUGACAUCCACCCACAGUAUGACCCAUCCUGUAUACAUUGUCCCAAGGCCUCAUGGAGGGAGUGCUCCCUACUGUUAGUCUCCAAAUGCAGCCCAGGAAGUCACCCCCUGCUGAGGUUGCCAGAUAAAAUGGUGCGUGGGCAUACUUACACUAGAAAAUAAUUCGUUGUUUAUCUGAAAUUCAAAUUUAGCUGGGCAUUGUAUGUUUUGAUUUGCUAAAUCUGGCAGACUUAACCGCCUGCUAUAGUGCUGUUUCUUUCAACUCUCCAUGGCCCCAGCUCCUGGUUGUUGACAUUGUUCUGAGCUGUUCGUUAGCAGCUGAACCUGGCUUCCUUCCGUGGGCCUGAAGGGCUGCUGUCCACUUGCAUUCUUGCCACAUCCAUCCUUCCCUUUCUAGCAAGAGAAUUUUUCCAUGUAUAGGUCUCCAUAUUGAAGGUAAAGAGUUUCCAGACCCUCUCAGGUCCCUUAACCGUUGUCUUUCAUGGACAUUUAAAACUCUCCACAGACAGGGCAGAGCUUCAUAAUAGCUGAGAUUACUCUGGUCUCCCUCCUAGAUACUCUGCCAAGAAACCUACCCCAUGGAGCUGUCAGGUUCUUGUCACAGUUUACUGUACAAAGCUCGCUGUGAAAGUUGACAGUGCCAUCCAAGUUCAAUUCCUAAUUAGUUCUUCACAAAGCAGAACCUACCCAGUGACAAUCCCUAGGCAUAACCAGGAUAAAAGAGGACCAAAUGGGAAUGGCAGGGACUUUGAAGUCAAACGGGGCUGAGUUUGAAUCCCAGCACUGCCACUUAUUACUAGGGGAGUAUUAACCCCUCUGGAUCCUAGAUUCCUUGUCUGUAAAAUGAGUAAAUUUACCUUAAAGUACGAUUAAUAGUCCUACCUUGUUAGGUUGCUGUAAGGAUUAGAGAGAAUGAAGAUGGAGUACCUGACGCAGAGUCCAGACUCCACUAAUGAUGAUCCGUUGUGUCAUACCCAUCUUUACUGCUUUCAAAAGAGUGAUACGGUCUUUAUUAUUACAACUUAAAAUAGCUGUAUUAAUGCUUCCCAAACAUGUCUGUGAAAUGUGACCUUUUUGAACCAUGAAGUUCAGGUUACCUUUAGGGGGAAGGUGCUUAAUUAAGCAAUAGCUGGCUGGAUGUGGUGGCUCACACCUGUAAUCCCAGCACUUUGAGAGACCAAAGUGGGCAGAUCACUUGAGGUCAGGAGUUCGAGACCAGCCUUGCCAACAUGGUGAAACCCUGUCUCUACUAAAAAUACAAAAAUUAGCCAGAAAUCACUUGAACCUGGGAGGUGGAGGUUGCAGUGAGCUGAGAUCGUGCCACUGCACUCCAGCCUGGAGUGGACCCAGUCUAAAAAAAAAAAAAAAAAGCAAUAGUCACAUUACUAGAAGCCCCUCAAUGUCCCCAGUCUGUGAGGUAGAAAAGUAAUUGCAGCAUCAGGAGGGUAGAAGAUUUCUCCAGACUGGUUCCAUAGGAGAGAGAGAAACAGACUCUGCCAAGGCAGUCUUCUGGCCUGUGAGUGGUAUCCUUCCCUCUCAGUCAUCAAGGAUGCCCCACUGCUACUCAAAAGCCACAGGAAAAGUUACCAGUUAUGUUGGGAUUAUAGUUUUGUGUUUCCUUGAGGGUGAUCAGCUCCUUUCUUGCUUAUAGGUUUCUUUUUUUUUCUUUUUUUUGUUUGGACAGAGUCUCACUCUGUCACCCAGGCUGGAGUGCAGUGGCACGAUCUUCUUGGCUCACUGCAACCUCCACCUCCCAGGUUCAAGCGAUUCUUCUGCCUCAGCCUCCUGGGUAGCUGGGAUUACAGGUGUGUGCCACCCACGCUUGGCUAAUUUUUAUGUUUUUAGUAGAGAUGAGGUUUCACCAUGUUGGCCAGGCUGGUCUCGAACUCCUGACCUCAGAUGAUCUGCCCACCUCGGCCUCCCAAAGUGCUGGGAUUACAGGCGUGAGCCACUGUGCCCAGCCAUGUUUCCUGAACACCCAAAGUAGCUUAAGUCACACAUAUUUACCAGGAGUCAGUGAUGAAAGAGAGGUCCAUUGUCAUUCCAAAAUGCGCCCUUUACACUUAUUAGGAAAUAAGGUAACAUUAUUUCCACAAACAUUAAAUGCGGGUGAUACAGAUAUUAGUAAAAGUCUUUUUUUUUUUUUUUUUUUUUUUUUUGAGAUGGAGUCUCGCUCUGUCACCCAGGGUGGAGUGCAGUGGCACCAUCUCGGCUCGCUGCAAUCUCUGCUUCCUGCGUUCAAGCGAUUCUUCUGCCUCAGCCUUCCGAGUAGUUGAGACUACAGGCGUGAGCCACCACGCCCAGCUAAUUGUUAUACUUUUAGUAGAGACGGAGUGUAACUGUAUUGGCCAGGCUGGUCUCGAACUCCUAGACCUCAUGAUCUGCCUGCCUCGGCCUCCCAAAGUGCCAGGAUUAUAGGCAUGAGCCACUGCGCCCAGCUAGUGAAAGUCUUUCUAUAACCACUAUUGCCCCCAUAAAUUUUCUUCCUUUUCUUUUUUCUUUCUUUUUUUUUUUAAUAGUGAUAGGAUCUUGCUCUGUUGCUUAGGCUGGAGUGCAGUGGCUCAUAGCUCAUUGUAACAUCCAACUCCUGGGCUCAAGCCAUCCUCCCACCUCAGCCUCCUGAGUAGCUAGGAUUACAGGCAUAUGUCACCAUGGUUGGAUAAUUUUUAAAAUUUUUUCCCAUAGAGAUGUCACAUAGAGAUGGGAUCUUGCUCUGUUGGCCAGGCUGGUCUCAAACUCCUGGCCUCAAGUGAUCCUCCUGCCUCAGCUUCCCAAAGCAUUGGGAUUAUAGGUAUGAGCCACUGUGCCCAGCACUCCUACAAAUUUUCAUGUGUGGGUAUGAAAUCCCCUGACUCCCUAAUAAGCCCAAUGGUUGAAAAUUUAAAGGUCAACAUGUUUAUCAGAAAUGAGAAAAUAGGCCAGACGCAGUGUUUCAUGCCUAUAAUCCCAGCACUUUGGGAGGCCGAGGCAGGCAGAUCACCUGAGGUCAGGAGUUUGAGACCAGCCUGGCCAACAUGGCGAAACCCUGUCUCUACUAAAAGUACAAAAAAUUAGCCAGGUAUGGUGACGUGUGCCUGUAGUCUCAGCUACUUGGGAGGUUGAGACAGGAGAAUUGCUUGAACCUGGGAGGUGGAGGUUGCAGUGAGCCACUGCAUUCCAUCCUGGGCGACAGAGCGAGACUCCAUCUCAAAAAAAUUUAUAUUAUGUAUAAUAAUAUAUGUAUAAUUUGUGUUAUUACAUUAUAUAUUUUGUUAUAUAUUAUGUAUAAAUAAUAACAUUAUUAUUAGAGAGUCCAUCAAAUAGUUGAGAAAAACAUAGCUAAUAUUUAUUGAGCAUUUAUGGUGUGCCAGGCCCUGUGUUGAAUGUUACAUGUGCUUUCUCAAUAAUAAUAAUGUGUCUAUUAUUCUGCCCCAGUUACAGAUGAGGAAAUAGGCUAAGGAAGGUUGGGUAACUGACCAGGCUGGCAAGUGGCAGGGCUGGGACUCCACCCCGAAUCUGCUCAGUAGCCCAGGCUCUGCUGUCCAUAUGAUUCACAAGCAUUUAUUCAACUAAAAUUAGUCACAGACAGUUAUCAGAAAUUUACCUUUAAAAUCUUAAAAAGGGCCAUAUUUGAUUUUUUUUUUUUUUUUUUUUUUUUUAUGAAACAGUCUCGCUCUGUCUCCCAGGCUAGAUUGCAGUGGUGCGAUUUUGGCUCACUGCAACCUCCACCUCCCGGGUUCAAGUAAUUCUCCUGCCUCAGCCUCCUGAGUAGGUGGGAUUACAGGCGCCCGCCACUGUGCCUGGCUAAUUUUUGUAUUUUUAGUAGAGGCGGGGUUUCACCAUGUUGGCCAGACUGGUCUCAAAUUCCUGACCUCAUGAUCCACCUGCCUCAGCCUCCCAAAGUGCUGGGAUUACAGGUGUGAGCCACCACGUCCAGCCUGAUCAUAUUUUUACCUAUCAAGAAUUGGACCAGUUUUCUAGAGUGUCAUAUAAAUAUACUAAUAACCUCACAACAAGUUGCUGAAAUUAAUAAAUAUAUAUGUAUCAAAGAUUAUAAUGCAUAAUGUUAAAAGCUGCAGUAAUUUUCAAAGAAAGUAGUACCUAGAUACAAGAGUCCUCCAGUAAGGAAGGUGAGUAACUACCCAUUUGCCAUGAAUCAGCAGUUAGCCUAUUAGUGGUGCUUCACAAAUACUUUUUUGUCAUCUUUGAGGGGUAGAAGCACUGCUAUUCCAUAGCUCCUAGAGAGAUGUAGCGGCCAGGAUGAAACUCAGAAGCCCAGGGAGCUCCAGCCGUAGGAUCCCAGAGCUCAGUCUCUCUGCUCCCCUGGAAUGUGUUUUUCCAAACUGCGGUGUGAGGCUGAAGGGCCAGCACACUGGACCCAGGCUUAUGAAAUGGACAAGACUAAUGUGAAAGGGACUGGUUCUUUGCGGGUGCUCAUUAAAUGUGGUUUCCCCUUCUCUUAUUCAAUAAAUAGCUAUUUGGUUUGUGUCAUCUCCUAUUUAUUGCUAUAUUAGAAAAUAAUAGCAUCAUUCCCACAUACAGCAUCUGUGACUAGAGCUGACAAGACCAACAUAGGGCAACAGUGCUUUCUGUGGCAUUUGCAUAGAAAGUGCGCCCUUCGAAUAGGCAGUAUGCCUGGAGCUGUUUGGAGUUUAGCCUGAGACUCAAAUCUGCAAAAGCCUUUUCUGAGAAAGCUACCCUGUUUGUGAUUGCUACAUUCCAGUUUAUGUGACAGCCAUUGCUUUGUUUCCUAGCAGUCCAUAGAUACAUCAUUGGAAAUUGUGGUUUGGAGCAUCAUUUAAGGGUUUUUUUAUUUUUUAAUACGUGGUUUAAAUGACACCGCUCUUCAGUUUAUCAUCUUCAGUAUAGCAUCUGUUUUUUAUUCAUCUUGUAUCUGUACUUUACCUACUAAAGUAGGGGGCCAUUGUUCAAUGAAAUUAUCAUGAAAAUCAUUUCAAAACUUUACCACUUUAGUUUGUUGGUGGUGAUUAUAUGGAACAGACCCCCUCAGAUAUUGUUGAUGACUGUAUAAAUUGAUAAAACCUCUUUUGAAAGCAAUUUGCACAUGCAUCAAGGAUCAUGAGCAUAUUCAUACUCUGAGCCUAUAAUUCAGCAUCUAGAAUCUAAACCAAGGAAAAAUAAAAAUACAGAAAAUAUAUGUCUAAUGGUAUUUAUUGCAGAUUUAUUAAUAGUGCAGAAGUAUAAACAAAUAGACAUAUGAUUAAUAUAUUUUAGUAAACCCCAAGUGAAAUAUCCUGCCAUUAAAAUGCUAUCCUUAGUAAGUUUUACUAGAAAUGUUUCUAAAAAUGUUUUUAAAAUUGUAAUGUUGGCCAGGUGUGGUGGCUCACAGCUGUAAUCUCAGCACUUUGGGAGGCCAAGGUGGGAGGAUCACAUGAGGCCAGGAGUUCAAACCAGCCUGUGCAACAUGGCAAGACCCCAUCUCUACAAAGAAAAAAAGACAUUGUAAUGUGGGUUGGAGAAAGUGAGAUAUAAAAUUGUAUAUUUAUUUUAUGCUGGGAAAAUUAUACACAAGUAUACCCAUAUACCAGGAUGGUGGUAUUAUGGGUGAUAUGUUUUUCUUUCUACUUUUCCAACAUUUUUAAUAAUGUGAUUACAUUAUUUUUAUAGUGGAAAGAUUUUUUAAUAAUUAAAAAACUCGUAAGUGCAAGUAGAACCGUAUGCCAUUAUGAGGAGAAUUUUUAGAACUAAGGAUACCAGGACACCUGGCCUGACUUAAAGCCUAGCAAUAGGACACAGGGUUUGAAAUUGAAACUAUUCCCCCAAAUCCAAGACAUACACAUAUCCAUAGAUAAAUUGGCAAUGAUGGCUGUAAACCAAAAGUGAUUUGGGUAACUCAAGUUUAUUUGAGGGAACCCCUCCAGACAUUAUGUUGGCAGGAACUAUGGCCACCCAUGGUGCCAUACAUAACCCCGGUACAAGCUGUCAGGGAACCAAAUAAAAUUGAUAUGCCCUCAUGUGGCUCAGACAGUGAGUCUUGUCAGCAGUUGUUCUGCCCAGGAAACUUCUCUGUUGAUAGUGUCAUCAUUCUAUACAAAGGCAAGUCUGGCCAGUCCUAACUAACAGAUACCAGUACAAAGGCAUUACAAUGUCUUAUCCAUGAUUGGAAGCUUUUUGUUAGUGUUCAGAUGACCACAUUCUUCUACUUUUCCCCUCUCCCAGGACAUUCACUCAGCCUGUCCUGGGAGAAGAGCCUUCCUCCUAGUCCCUGCAUUCAGCAGUGCAUCUGGAGUGAUGGUGCAGUGGAGAAUGUCUUGUUAUUAGUUUCUGGACACUGUCUCUCUCUUUCUCUCUCUCUCUCUCCAAAUUAAGUUUUAAUAAAAAUAUAUUGGUGAAUGUCUUGAAGAUUCAUUCAUUCAUUUGGUCAUUUCUUCAUUUAUUAAAGGAUUCAUUAAAACAAACAUAAUAGGCCAGGCAUAGUGGCUCACGCCUGUAAUCCCAGCACUUUGGGAGGCCAAGGUGGGUGGAUCACCAGAGAUCAGGAGUUCGAGACCAGCCUGACCAAUAUGGUGAAACCACGUCUCUACUAAAAAUACAAAAAUUAUCUGGGCGUUGUGGUGUGUGCCUGCAAUCCCAGCUACUCAGGAGGCUGAGAUGGGAAAAUUGCUUGAACCCAGGAGGCAGAGGUUGCAGUGAUUCAAGAUGGCACCACUGCACUCCAGCCUGGGCGACUGAGUGAAACUGUCUCAAAACAACAACAACAACAAAAACAGGCAUAAUUUAUUACAUACUGGAAUUAAAGAACACAGAAAACCACCACCCUUCUUUCAGUUUAUAGGCUAAAUCAGGCUCACAGAUAAAAAUCUAAGGAUCCUCAGCGUGGUAUUCCAGAAAUUGCUGGGGAAGCUGGCAGGGUUGGGGGGUGGUGGGGGAAGUGGGGGCCGUGAUGGGUGUGCUUAGGACCUGGUAAUGAGAGUGAGAUGGGACCACAUGUUCCUUAGGGAGUAGAGCUCAGACUGGGGAAGGGGAGAGGCUCUGGGAAUUGCUGAAGGGAGUGGGACUCGGGUGUGGCCCAGGAAGGUCUUGGGAGGGCUGGUAACUACUGGUGAGCUGAGUGUAGCUUGAAACUUAAAGGGAGAUUCAGGAAAGAGAUGAAAGAAGACAAAUGUCACAUACUAGACAAUUUUGCUUAAGUCUAUCUCUUGAGUGAGGGAACAGUAGGACUGUUGCUUUUUCUUCCUGAAUCCACCUCUGCAGUUUGGUCCCCUUUGGGUAGAUCUGCAAAUAGGGAAGUGUUCAUGGCCACCUGCCCAGGAGGCUUCCUAAGAAUUUGUUGAGCAAAUUUCUUUGAUACCCGGGAUUUGAUAUUUGCCAAGAGUCAGCCUGAACAAAUUCCUAACUGUUGAACAUGAAAGCAGAAUUCUCAGAGUUGGCCAGCUCUGCAAAUUGUGUCUUUCCCUAGCAGAGAACUUGCAGUAGUACAGGCUAUUUCCUCAUCCACUAAGCACAUGCUUGUUGGCCUAUGUGGUGGUCUAGCCUUUGCAUUCUUGCCUUUGAGAAGAUUUCUGGAGAGUACCAGGCAAGAUUCUUCUCCAGCCUAGGAGGUGGGACGGCAAGAGGAUGGGCUCUCCAGUUCUUUUUUGUCUAUUAAUUCUACUCCUCCCCUUCUAGGAUCUUCCUUUCUCUCUUCAUCUCCAUUCUCCCCCCUUUUUCUCUACCCUCUUAUUCCCUAUUCUGGCCAAAUGGAUUAGGGAGUGGGGAGGGAAUGGUCAGGGCUGGAAAGUCCAUUCUUAUUUAUUUUUCUCUUUAUAGCAAAUCCCAAGACUUCCUUCAUGGAAGCACGUGGGAAAUUACACCCCUGGGUUGCUGAGGCCACUUAAUUUAAAAAGUAAGCCCAGUCUGGAGUGUAUCAGUUGGGUGAAGCAUCCAUCCCUGGGGCAUGGUCUUCAAAUGCCUGCCAUGUCUUGGAGAAAAGCUGGGGCUCACAGAGUGCUGCUGCCCCUGCCUUGCACACACAUGUGCAAGGGUUGGUGGUGCUGGGGACCAGGCUUAGGUAGAAGGGAGGUCAGCCCUUCCAGAAGUGAAUAUUCUGAACUCAGCCUCUCUAACUCCAAAUAACUUAAAAUGAAAGAUUUGUCUGGGAGCAGUGUCUCAUGCCUGUAAUCCCAA